rnacentral:tRNA from 1 species
GGCCCGAUGGCGGAGUGGUGACGCAGAGGACUGCAAAUCCUCGCACGGGGGUUCGAUUCCCCCUCGGGCCUCCA